GAUGAACGCUGGCGGCGUGCCUAAUACAUGCAAGUCGAGCGAACCACUUCGGUGGUGAGCGGCGAACGGGUGAGUAACACGUAGGUGAUCUGCCCAUCAGACGGGGACAACGAUUGGAAACGAUCGCUAAUACCGGAUAGGACGAAAGUUUAAAGGUGCUUCUGGCACCGCUGAUGGAUGAGCCUGCGGCGCAUUAGCUAGUUGGUAGGGUAAAGGCCUACCAAGGCGACGAUGCGUAGCCGACCUGAGAGGGUGAACGGCCACACUGGGACUGAGACACGGCCCAGACUCAUACGGGAGGCAGCAGUAGGGAAUCUUCGGCAAUGGGCGAAAGCCUGACCGAGCAACGCCGCGUGAAUGAUGAGGGCCUUCGGGUUGUAAAAUUCUGUUAUAAGGGAAGAACGACUUUAGUAGGAAAUGGCUAGAGUGUGACGGUACCUUAUGAGAAAGCCACGGCUAACUACGUGCCAGCCGCCGCCGUAAGAC
rnacentral:rRNA from 1 species